rnacentral:lncRNA from 1 species
UUGUGGCUAAAAGAAAAGAUUGUAUUAAGAGUCAAAUUUAAUAGAUUUAUGUAACAUAUAAUAUUAUAUCAUUAGAUCAUUAAACAAGGAUAAUCAAUUUAUUGUUAGACUUAGAAGAUAGUGCCAUAAUUGAUAGAAUAGAAGGUAAGGUAAAAAUACUUAAAGGAGAAGAGAAGAAACACGAAGAACUAAAGAGAACUUUUAGAUCCCAGAGAAGAGGAAGCAAAAAAACUCUAAAA